CCGAUAGAGGUCGCGGAGAUUAAGAGUAGCAGCUUUUCAAAACUGGGACUGAAGCUGUGAAAGGAUGAUCCGCCGAAGCAGAUCGGAAUCCCAAAGCCGAUUUGCUGGGACGAUGUAAUAAGAUGCAUCGUACUGUCACGUAAGUGGAGAGCUAUCAU
rnacentral:ncRNA from 1 species